AGUGAACGCUGGCGGUAGGCCUAACACAUGCAAGUCGAACGGCAGCACAGUAAGAGCUUGCUCUUACGGGUGGCGAGUGGCGGACGGGUGAGGAAUACAUCGGAAUCUACUUUUUCGUGGGGGAUAACGUAGGGAAACUUACGCUAAUACCGCAUACGACCUACGGGUGAAAGCAGGGGAUCUUCGGACCUUGCGCGAUUGAAUGAGCCGAUGUCGGAUUAGCUAGUUGGCGGGGUAAAGGCCCACCAAGGCGACGAUCCGUAGCUGGUCUGAGAGGAUGAUAGCCCACACUGGAACUGAGACACGGUCCAGACUCCUACGGGAGGCAGCAGUCGGGAAUAUUGGACAAUGGGCGCAAGCCUGAUCCAGCCAUCCCGCGUGUGUGAAGAAGGCCUUCGGGUUGUAAAGCCCUUUUGUUGGGAAAGAAAAGCAGCAGGUUAAUACCCCGCUGUUCUGACGGUACCCAAAGAAUAAGCACCGGCUAACUUCGUG
rnacentral:rRNA from 1 species